rfam:Dipodomys ordii contig_5612, whole genome shotgun sequence.
GGUGGCUUAGUGGUAGAGUGCUUGCCUUGCAUGCAUGAGGCCCUGGGUUCAAUUUCCUCAGCACCA